GCCUUCUACAAGGUCAGGUUCCAUAAGAUUGUGCUUUAUAUCACACAAGAACCCUCCACAAGGUCAGGUUCUGUGGUUUGGGGGGAUACCAACUCCACUUCCAAGGCUGUUGAGAAUUAGUGGCCAGACCAACAAAAACUUAAAAAGCUGGAAUGGAGAACGCCAUGGUUCCUGUCCCAGACCCACCCACUAGCUGAAGUCAUUGAGUCUGUUAGUGUCCAUAUUUGUUUCCUUGUGUUGACAAUGGUGGUGGAGGUUCUGAGACCCUGACUGCCCAUCUUUACAAUAGCAGGGUAUGUCCCGACACUCCAGGAGCCUUACUUCGACCUCAGAUGCUUUCCUCAACAACCGCAACCUACCUCACGUCGUUGUCAUCACACGCUCAUUUCAAAGAAAGUUAGUCCACGGCCGAAAGACACAAGAAGCAACCAGAGAAUUCUGUGUUUGGAAGAUAACUGUUCCAAACUCCUGGAAGCCAUGAAAAUUUGUUGGCAUCAAGAAAAUGUGCACUGAGGUUGAUACUAGGUCCCUGGAGAUGCCAAAUGGCACAUGGGGACAUUAGUUUCAUCCCAACUGCUUUUGGAAAAUCCACGCAAACAUCAAAUUAAGCAAAACUUGGCAAAAUCUAGCCUAGAAUCCUAUAUGAAAUAAAAGCCA